rnacentral:lncRNA from 1 species
GUGGAAGUGCCGCUCUAGGUCGCACGCCGCGCGCGUAGCCCUAUUUCCGCCGUCGCGGGCUAAGAAAAGGGAGGUCUGGUCGCGUGCUUGUUCUUUUUUGACAUCCCGCGCGCUCUCUCGCCAUCUCUCGAAAUCCUCAAGCAUCCUGCAACUUCCCCAGCUGUCUGCUCUGUCUCCGCCGCUUCCCGGCGCCAGGGCGUCGGGGCCUCGCUGUGAACGCCUCUCCUGCAGACAUGAAAGCUCUCUCCUGGAUGUUUCUUGCUGGUUCUGCAGCAGCCAGCGCCCUCUUCUCUCUGGAUUCCCUCGGGGGCGUUCAGCCUGCAGGGGGAGGAUGUCCCCGGGAUUGUCAGCUGUCCUCUGCCUAGCAGCCCCCUGUCAUUAAGAGGAGGCUGAAAAAGAAAAAAAGGGGAGGCUGGGCUAUGAUGCUCUGAGGUGUGGAUCCUGGAUGCUUCUCCAGAGAGAACAGUGAUGUUCAGCUUCAAGACCAAGGCAAAGGCUGCUUCCUUUUGUUUGCUUCCUCACUGUGGCCUGCAGGGACAUGCUCCCCAAACUCUCCUCCCAUUCUGAGAAGCAGAAGAAGCUUUUGUUAAACACAAUCUUGGUGGGUGCUGUUCAUGGACACCGGAGGGGCAGAGAAUUAAGAGCAAUGUCAUCCUAUGAAGCUUCACUGCCAGCUGUAUGCAGAGAAACGAGGGCCAUGGACAGGAAAGCCCAGCUCCAUCUGUCUGCCUGUAUUUGCAGUAACUUUUUUUUUUAAAGUCAUCGGCUCUAAGUUGAACAGGCUGGCCUUGAGUUUGCCAUCCUCUUGCCUCCGCCUCCUGAGUUGAGUCACUGGCAUAUGCUGUGGUGGCUGGCUCUGGACUUUCCCUUGGUCUUUGUGUUUCUUCCUGUCCCCCUAUCCCCCAUUCAAUAAAUAUUUCCUUUUUUUUUAAUGUUGAUGGGCCUUAAUUAUUUCACUCAUUUAUUUAUGUGCAGUGCUGAGAAUUGAACCCCGUGCCUCACACAAUCUAGACAAGUGCUCUACCACUGAGCAACAAACCCUGUCCCCUCUGCCUGCCUCUUAAAUUAGUAACAACCUAAGUAGGAGGCUGGAUAUGGAGGCAGGGUAUGUGAGAUGUAUAGUCAGGACUAGGAAGUGACUGACUGCUGCUCACAUUCAGGGAUUGUGAGCUGAGGGCUGUGCUAGCUUUUUGUCACUAUGAAAAAAUACCUGGUGUGUACAGAUUAUGGGAGGAAAGAUUGAUUUUGUCUCAACUGUCAGAUUUUAGUCCGUGGUUGCUGGCUUCAUUGCUUUGGACCUUAGAUGAGGCAGGAUGUGAUGAAAGGUGUGGCUGAGGAAAACUGCUUAGCUCAUGGCAGCAGCCCAAAAGCACAGGAUGGAGGCAUAAGCGGGAAACAAAUCGUUCUAGUAACCUUCCUCCAACUAAUCACUGGCUCCCUGUGAUGGCAUCAAAUUAUUAAUCCAUCAGUGGGUUUCACUGAUGAGGAACCAUCCAGUCCCUUUCCAAAAGGGAUUUUAACAUUGCUGUCCUUGUUAACAAGUCUAGCACAUGAGUCUUUGGAGGACAUUUCGCAUCCAGGCCAUAAACACUUCAGGAUAGUCAAGCCAGGAGUUUGAAAGGGUGGUUGGUAUUAGGAAGACCUCGGUGUCCAUAAAUUGAGGGCUUAGGCAGGAAGUGGGACCUCAUUGCUAAAACUAGAAAAGUAGGUAAAUGAACUAGUUGGCCAGCCUCCCAUGGACAAAAACUGCAUGGUGUUAGCGUGAGAAGCUGUGGUGUAAGGGUGUGAGUAGUGUGAACGUGGGCAGCCACUAUUGGAACAGGAUGGGCAGGUGGAGGACUGAUGUGGCUAGUGGGUAAUUGCAGCAAAGAGAUGAUGCAUUAACCAAGUCCUUGUAUCAACUCAUCCCCCUUUUACAGAGGGUCAGAUCUGGGCAUAGAGAAAACAUUCUAAGGGUCAGGACAGAAGGAUGGAUUCUUCCUUGUAAAGAUUUGUUAACAUUUCUAGAAAAUGGCCUCAAAUGAAAGGCCUAAAUAAUAAGAUAAAGCUGGUCCGAUAAGACCUCAGGGACAAACUUGAUCUAUAAGACCUCAGGGACAAACUUGAUCUAAGAUGAACUACAAAUGUCAUUAAAGCUGUGUCUUAUUUUAGUACUGGGGAUUGAAAGCUGUGGCUUCCUGACAAGAAAUCUUUGAUCCAUCCUGGAAUAGACAAAACCAAGGGGGUGGGGAAUAUAGCUUAGUGCUUGCCUCAUGCACUAUCCCAUUGUUAGGGACAAUUGCAUGUUGUCCAUUUGCAGAAGCGUGAGAGAGUCUUGAAGGUUUGAUAUCCAACAGGAAGGUGUGAUAUGGCUAUGAACUGUUAACUGGUCAUGCCUUAAAAAAUAUUCCUGCCAGUGUUGCUUUUGGGUUUCAGCCACUUGCCUCAACAGAAGUGAUUGUUUGUUAGAAGUUUUCCCAAUAAAAAUCAGGCUUGCUUUCAGUGUCAACUCUUGGUGGUUUGUUCUUUUAGACCAGGGAUUGGCAAACUGGCCUACAGGUCAAACCUGGCCCACUGCUCUUUUUUUGGUACCAGGGAUUUAAUCCAGGAGUGCUUAACCAUUAAGCUAAAUCCCCAACCUAUUUUAAAUAUUUUGUGUAGAGACAGGGUCUCCCUGAGUUGUUAGGGCCUUGCCAAGUGCUAAAAGAGCCUUUGAAUUCAUGAUCCUCCUGCUUCAGCCUCCCCAGCUGCUGGGAUUACAGGCAGUGUACCACCACGCCUGGACCAUUGCUUGUUCUUGUGACAUUUAUAGUGACACUCCUUGUCUGGAUAUUUUCUGCAAUGGCAGAGGUAAGUUGGAACAGAGAUGAUAUAGGCCUAAAAUAUUGACUAUCUGUUGCUCUUUGCAGGAAAGU